UAAUCUUCCUUGGGUACCUAAAAUGCAAAACAACUUUCUGUAAUACAGUCUGUGUGUAUGACGUAACGAAAAGCUGGAGAUAAUAUUUAAAAAAAAUAUCAAGUCGAAAUAAAUCCUCAAAAAGAGCCAGCGGAAAAGACGACGUCGUGACUUUUAAAACGGCAGUAACUCGGAGAGUCAUCCAGGUAAAUCAAGUCAUUGGCAGUAGGCACGGUGAAUCGGGGAUCGCGUAUCGACAAGCGGCCUCGCCGAUUGACCCUGACUUCCGUUGCGCCGUCGUAUUUGUCUAAGAGAUAAUCACCU